GGGCUGAUGCUGCACCAACUGUAUCCAUCUUCCCACCAUCCAGUGAGCAGUUAACAUCUGGAGGUGCCUCAGUCGUGUGCUUCUUGAACAACUUCUACCCCAAAGACAUCAAUGUCAAGUGGAAGAUUGAUGGCAGUGAACGACAAAAUGGCGUCCUGAACAGUUGGACUGAUCAGGACAGCAAAGACAGCACCUACAGCAUGAGCAGCACCCUCACGUUGACCAAGGACGAGUAUGAACGACAUAACAGCUAUACCUGUGAGGCCACUCACAAGACAUCAACUUCACCCAUUGUCAAGAGCUUCAACAGGAAUGAGUGU